CGCGUAGGCGGACAUUUAAGUCAGGGGUGAAAUCCCGGGGCUCAACCCCGGAACUGCCCUUGAUACUGGGUGUCUUGAGUUCGAGAGAGGUGAGUGGAAUUCCGAGUGUAGAGGUGAAAUUCGUAGAUAUUCGGAGGAACACCAGUGGCGAAGGCGGCUCGCUGGCUCGAUACUGACGCUGAGGUGCGAAAGUGUGGGGAGCAAACA
rnacentral:rRNA from 1 species